GCGUUUGAGGUUCUGGGCUUUGUCUCAGUCAUGUCUAACUGCUGGCUGCUACUGCUGUCUCCUCGGGUUAGGCAGUUCUGUCUGGAGGGAGGGAUCAGCGGCAAGAACAUCAUACUCUUCAUCUUCCUGGUCGAGUGCCAUUUCAGCAAAGCCCCGUGUAAGCAUGUAGUGCCCCCUGGGGCUAUAUAGACCCAACACAGUGGAAGCCAUGACCCAAAACAUCAAUACAGUGUUGGUCUGGAGACUCUGGACCUGGGGGCUCAUUAGAACCAGCUGCCACGACGAAGAUGGUGAUGAUCCACAGACAAGUCUGGGAGCUGAGCCAUGAGAGCCUGCUCUCCGCCCCAAGAAACUCUGUCAGUAUCUCCCUCUGGAGGACUGCUUCAGUCAUAAGUGGUCUCUCAUGUCAUGGGAGAUACUAGAGAGAAGGCCAGGGACUAAAGGGAAACGCAAAGAAGAAGAGCUAUGUUCAUUGUGUUAAUAUAGCAUUAGCAUCCUUUUUUCCCCCAUGUUGCAUAUCAUUUUGUAAAAUGUUCCCAGUGUGCUCCAUGUAAUUUCCCAUUAUCAGUGUUACAUUGUAUGCUUAACUUAUAAUAGGCACAUCACAAACACAACAAGAGUACUUGAUAUCACAUAAUACAGUAUAUCUGUGCACUUCUACUUGAAGUUGACUAUAUUUUAAACAUUUGGAUUGAUGAGCUUGUUGUUGGAAUAU